rnacentral:lncRNA from 1 species
CCUUCAAUUCUGAUUAAACACAUAAGAUAGCAUCCAUCCCAAAUGCUGUAAAAGUUGGGUCUUUUUCCAAGCUUUUAAAUCCAACCCAAAAUGCAGGUUACCAAUUAGAUCAAAACCCAAAAAGGGUUCUCAUUAUAUCACCAUUACAACAGAUCUACCAACCAAACAAUCAAUCAAAAACUUCAACUUCUCCCCAAAAGUUCAGAACAAGUAAAAACGAAGAUGAAACAAUGAUAAACAAGCACCGACCCAGAACAAUGCAGGCCUGAUCGGUGAAGUCCACAAAGGAAUUGGACCCGUUCAGGAAGAGGAAAACUGCUAUCCGCAAUAGCAAUUGCAACAGCAGCAGCAGCAGAAGGCAGGUGUCUUUGCUGCCACCCGUUCUAGUAUGGUAGCAGUGAAGAGUUAGGGACCAUUAGGUGGAUAAUUUAUUACUUAAUUUACUAGUAUUAGUAUCAGUAAUAGUUAUUUUUUGAAUAUUUGGAGAAAUUUUUGGGGAAAGGAUGGAUCUUGACCUUAGAUUUUGAUAUCGGCACCUGGAAUGGCACCAUCAGCCACCGGAUUUGCACGUUAGAAUCUUGAGAUUGACAGCCUGGCAAGGUGAUGGAGAUACAACUCAUACUUGUCUCUGUCCAUGUCUUGUUUGUUCCUUGUUGAGAGUCCUGUUCCCGCCGGUUUUCUUUUGAAUUUCAAGUUUUUUUUGCUACAUUUAAUUCUAGGGACAAUAUAAGAAACCUCCCUGAGGCUUUUGACAAUUGCACUAGCAUUCACUGAAUUUUGCAAAAUUACACAAACCUCGUUGAGGUUAAGGUUUUGAUAACGAAAUUAGUCCAAUUAAAAAAGUAACAUUAAAAAUACUUUAAGGAAAGAGAUGAAACUUUUAUUUCAUAAAUACUCCUUAUGCAUAUAUAAGUUGUAUUAGUAAAAGAAUAAAAAUUAGAAAUAAAUAAGAAAAAUGACUAGUUUCAUCCCUCACAUUUUAUAAAAAUAUUCUUUUCGUCCCUCGCUUUUAAAAUGAAGUGAAUUCGUUAUUGACAUUUAAAAACUAAACUAUUACAUCCCUGUACGCAACUUUCAAUCUAAGUCCAAUCACCCAACAACCCGAUUACAAAUUUCAAGGUUAUAAUUGGUAGAUCAUUUGGUUAACUCAACUUAAUAUUCAUAUGAAAAUUAAUGAACUCAAAAAAGGAAAAUAAAUAAUUAUAACAUAAAAAAGAAGAAUUAUUCUUUCCUAUAUUGUCAUUGUAUAUAUUGAUAGGUCUAAAUACCUACCACAUCAUUUCAAUUGAAAUUUAAAUAACAAACUUGUAUGUAUGGUAUAUAUCUAGAUUCACAAGUAUAUACACUAACGGUACAUGAAAAAUUUACCUAAAAAACAAACUCUACUAUUCCAAGACAAAAGAGCGACCUUUUCUAUUAUAAUUUUUUAUUUUUUCAUUUUUUGGUUCAAUAAAUGUCAUGUAAAUGUAAUGGAGUUGACCAAGUGAUCCAUCAAUACUAUCCAUGAAAUUCGUUACUGGGUUAUUGAAUGGUUUGAUUCAUAUUAGAAAGUUGGUUCAUGAAUGCAAUAGAUUCAAUUUUUAAAUGUUAGGGAUGAAUUUGCUUUGUUUUAAAAGUAAUGGAUAAAACAAUAUUUUCCAAAAUGUGAGGGACGAAACCAGUUAUUUUUUCAAAUAAUUAAUACACACAUUUCACCAUUCAAAAAGAUCAUAUUCAAUAAAUUAGAUAACACAAAUAAACAAGAAAACUACACUAAUGAUCACAAGAUUUAGCAAAACAAACUAGUCAUCUCUUUUAACGUGAUGUUUGCUAUAAUUCUUGUGUUUUUUAAUAGAAAAAAUUUUCUAAUUUUGCCUUUCUUUCGCCUUUACUUCCACAAAAUUACUUUCCAACUGUCACAACUUUAAGAGUUUCAAAGAAAAUAUUCUCAUGAACAACCUUCUUUUGUCCUAUUUUUUUUUCUUCUAUCAAAGUCCUUCUUCUCACAUUAUGUACAGCUGAUUUUGGUCAUUGUCAAAUUCUAUCAAUCACAAAAUAGGGUCAUUAGGUAUAUCAAUUGGUGUUAUUUUGUAAUUACAAGUCAUCGUUCAUUAUUAAAUAAUUUCAACAGUUAUUUUCAUUAAUUAGUUACUAAUAGUUAAUUAGUGUUCUAAUUACUUAAUCGUUAGAUACUAGUUUCUAAUAAGACAUUAUGUCUUAAGGUAAAUGAAUAAUUUCUCCCCAUGUGAGGUAAGUAACUAGAGGUGGCAAUUUUCGACACGACCUAAAAACACGACACGAACCUAACACGAAAUUAAUGGGUUUGGGUUGAGGUUUCGGGAAUUCGGGUCAGAAUCGGGUUGGACCCGAUGAACCCGAAAAGAAAACAGGUCGAUUUCGGGUCAACCCGUGGUGACCUGAUAUGACCCGUUUACGAAUUAAAAAAAUUUAAUAAACAUAAAAAUAAUUUUAUCUAACUAAACUAAGUUAUUCUUUUUUUCAAAGGCAUUAAUUACUUAAUCCUAAAUGAAUUUAUUUAAUUUGUGUGAAGUUGAAAUUAUUAUAUUUGGACAAAUAAUAUAUUAUAUUAUUUUUUACUUUUAUAUUGUUUUAAUUUAUUUUAUAUUUUGUUUGGAAUAAAACACUUUUACGGUGUUUAAUUUAUUUUAGAUUUGGUUUGGAAUUAUUAUUUAAAUUUUUAUUACUUGAUUAUGUAAUUAGUUUUGUGAGAAAUUGAUUUUAUUAGAAAUUACAGUGAUAAAUUAAUAAAUUAAAAUUAAGUUUCGGGUCAUUUCGGUCGACCCGCCAACCCGUCAACCUGAAAUUUUCGGGUUCGGGUCAGCACACCUGACCUGUCACGGGUUGGCGGGUCGGGUUCGGGUCAACAGAUUUUCUGGCGGUUCACCCGAACCCGACCCGCCAACCUGAUUUGGAUCCGAAUUGCCACCCUAUAAGUAACUAGGCCCACAAUUCUAAUCAAGAGAGAUGAGUGUAAUUUUAAAAACCUCAGAGGACACCAAUAAAAUUGUCAGAAACCUCGAUGGAGGUUCUGAAAGUAUCCCAAAAAGAAAAGAAAGAGAAAGAAAAGAAAAAUGUCCUUGGAACAACUUGAGGAAAUGAUCAUUUUAGUCUUUCAAAUUUUUUAUUAGUGCCUUUUUGUUUUGGAAAGAUUUCAAAUGGCAAUAGAGUCGUAAGAGAAUCAAGUAGGACACGAAAUUAAAGUUUAAGGAUUAAAUUGACAAAAUAAAAAUCGAGAAACUAAAUUGACUUUAGUAAAACAGGUGAAAGACUAAGGAGCCAUUUGGAUUGCUAUUUUUUAGAGUUUUGUAAAAAAAUGUACUGUAUCGAUUUGAUAUAUGAGGUAAAAUGGUGAUUUUUUGUAUUGGAAGUUAUUUGAAACAAGUUUUUUUGUAUUAUUUGCCGUAACAUUUUUUGUCUUAUUAUGUAUGAGAUGUAAACCUGAUUUUGAAGAUAACAAGUGGUUUGAAAAUAUGUUUAAGGAAUAAUACAAAAAAUUAUAAAUAAUGAGUAAUCCAAUCAUAAUUCUCUUUUUCAUCCUACUAAGAGUUUAGCACUCAAUCUCCACUUAGUUCAGAUUACAUUCCUUCUCCAAAAAAAUGUGCUUUAUGAUAUGAUAUAUAUAAGACAAAAAAAAAUUCUGAAAAGAUAGAGAUAUGAAUGGUGCCUUGUUAGUGAACAAUCCAAAAUAUGUAACAAAUAACAAGCAAGCAUAUAUACAGAUGUGUUAAUAAUUUGGGUUAUUACGUUUACCACCCUUGAGGUUUGGUCAAACUACUAAAUAAACCUCAAAAUUUAGCCAAAUAACAACCAAACCCUUUGAAUGAAAAGAUGUAUCAAAAUACCCUGAUGUCUUUCACCAUUAAAAAUGGUGUUAAUCAGAGUUCAAAAAUGCCCAUGUACAUCGAAUCUAUUCUAAAGCAACAAGAUAUAGCUUAUCAAAUGUCCUAAUUUGCUCAACAAAUUUUUGACUGAAAAUCUUAGAAAUGGGUUUAGAGGUUUGGGGUCUUUAGGCUCCUAACCUCGCUUAGUUGUAGGCUUGUUUAUGCUCUAUGCAUGAUUAUUUUGUUAUAACUAUUGUGGGUUUUGCGCUUGAUUUCAUUGGGGAAAGAAAAGGAGUGCUACUGGUUUGCCUUCUUUUGAUUGGUCUAUAGCCACUGUGGGCCAAAUGCAAAUUUCACUUAAAAAGUCAGGCAGUAGGGAGUUACUGCUGGUAUCACAGUUGCUCUAAAAUAUUAGCCAAGAAGAUCAAGAUAAAUUAGAAAAAAGAAAUUAAAAAGGGAUUAAUGAGGGUUUGUCAAAACUAUGACAUUUUGGACAUAGGGGUUUUGGUCUUAUCAAUAAUUCCGUUUACAAGAUUUAACAGAAAUUACUCCCAAGGGGCUAUCUGUUAUUUGGUCAAACUUCAAGGUUUGAUCAGUAGUUUGGUUAAACCUCAAGGGAGGUAAAUGUAAUUAAUUCUAAUAAUUUUGUUGUUGCUUUCUUUCUUCAAAUUGAGGCUUUUGGUAAAAGAGAAGAGCUUCGGAUAAGGAUUGGGUUCAUCUGCUAGUUAGUUUUUGUUAUUUUCUAAAUAUGUAGUCAUAUGUGUUAGAAGAUAUUGAAAAUAUUGGAUUUUUGGCUAAGUCUUUUCUAAGUGUAGUCAUAAGCUCUAAUUUGGGAGGUAAUUCCUGGGACUUUCGGGCUAAUGCAGUCCGGGAUGGGAAUCUAAGAGUACUUGUAAAGCUCCAAGAUGUCUAUUUUCUUGUAUGGUGAGUGAUUCAAAUGAUCUUUCCAACAAAAACAAUGAAAAAAAAAAAGAAGUUGAGAGAAAUACUUCAACAAGUGCAAAAAGUGGUUUUUUUUUCCCGAGAUGUAGAUUUUGAAAACCACUCGCAACAAAUUUUUUUCAGACUUUAAGAAAUCACAUAACGUUUGAAGGUUAUUUCGUAGUUUUGUAGCACCUUUUGAUGAUGAUUUCACUUAUUACAUUGAAAAAUGUGUGAAAAUGGUGCAAUAGAAUGAUUAAUUAACAAAGACAGUGCAAUUUUGUAUAUUAAAGAACAUUUAUAUCGGCUUCUCCACUAAAUGUAUGGUUUUUUUGUACGUCUAAUUAUACAUCCUGUCAAAAAGUUUGUAUAAAUACCCUUGAAUUUGAUAACAAGUAGUAUAUAAUUGCAUAUUUCUUUUACAUUUUUUUCCCUUGGACAAAGCCACAUGUUAUAUUUGAGAGUCUCGCAAGCGGCCGUUCCCGCUUUGGUGAUGAGUAAAAAGAGUUUUUUUUUUGUCGCAACGAUGACAUUUCUAUAAUCUACUCUAUUCUAUUUUAGGGGGAGAGGGAACUUAACCGACAUGAAACACCAUUGGAGGAAAUCAUUGAGAGUGGCAAAUCAUAAAUAGUGGCUGGUGGGAGUAAAAAGAGUGCUGAAGAGGGCAAAAUUGCAUCGUUCAUUAAUUGACAAUGUUAGCAGUUAGCACUGCCUUUUUCACUAAUCUUGGCUCUUGGGUAGAAAGGCCUAUGAGUCUGACCUUAAUAUACCUUACCAAGUCUUACACCCAAAUUUCCUUUACUCAUUUGGCGAAGUGCUUGCUUCACCAUGUUGAUGCAAAUUCGUCCCAGGAGUAGAAAAUCUGUACCUUUGACCAUCUGUGUCAAAGUAGCUUAUGGGCAGCUGAAACACUAUAACUACAUCCAAGUAGCUUAUGGGAUGCUGAAACACUAUUUUCACCGUAACUUUGCAUGGAAAACUUGGAAUUGAAUGUCAUUUGUUGCGUUGAAACUAGAUUUGAAGGGCUUUAAACUCAUGUAAGUGUCUCAUGCUAAUUCCUUACCCAAAAAUUGGCGAACCUUUAAAAUUGACCCUUGUAUUUCACUAGAUUAAGAAGAUAAUAUAAGUUAUCACUUAGGGGUAUUGUUUGGAGUUUUUAUUGUGGUAAAUUAGUGUGAUGAAUAGUCUUUAGAGCUAAAUUGAUUAUUUUUGUUAUAUCUAAGUAAGUAAGUAGUAGGCUACAAUUUUGAGUCCAAAAUACAUUUUUUUGUCACAAAUUUCUGUUAUCAUAAUCUUCUUCAAUUAUUUUUUUAUUGUAUACUAAUAUUUUAGUCAAAGAAAAUAUAUUUGAAACUUUUCGUUAUGUCCGCAAUAUUUAAUUAUGCUAUUGUAUAUAACAAAAUGAUGCAAUCAUUAAUAAAUGUUAUAUUUAACUAAAUACAUAGUGUUUAAUUAUCUUAUCAAUAAAUACUUAAAUGAUCUAUAUACAGAUAAGUCAACUUUUCCACCUAUCUUGUCCAUUAAUUACGUUUGGAUUUUAAAAUAAGAAAGAACAAGAUUUUUAGUUUGAUCACAUGCAUUACAAUAUGUUACAUGUAGUUCCAAAAUUUUUAUUUUGGACUACCCCUAAUAUUUUAGAUAGCACAAUUUUAGCCUUAAUUGAUUAUACUAUUAUAUUAAUUGUACAUGAGUUACAUUAUUUAUUGCUCUAUAUGUGAAUUGCAAAUUUAAAAAUUAUUAGUAUGAGCAUUUUUUUACAUUUUUUAUAGGAUCUAUCGAUCCAAUCCUGCAACCACAAAAACGAUCCUAAGUAGAAUCCCGAUUUUGAAAGCCUUGCGUCCAACCCCUUUCAAUCAUCUUCACUUGCAUGUGCUAUAUCAUAUAUCCACAACCAUCAGCACUCUCAAACAGUCUCUUUGGAAUUUGCAAGUGAGUUUUCAAGAUACCAAAAACUGUUGACUCGGGACUUUGCUUUACAAUAAUGUCCCUUUUGAAUUCUAUGGACAUGUAUAAUGUUGCGAGCAAAUUGAGUUACUGGUGAACUGGCUUGGUCAAAGCUCGAACUCAAAUUGACUUAACAAAAUGUGAAUUACAAUUUGAGAAAUGGUGAAUUGAUUGAUUGGAAAUUUCCUUUUCUAUUGGGUUGAGCCGAAAGUUUCCUGAAAAAUCAGAGAAUGCUAAUCUCCAUUCUACCUUCUGAAUUCUAAACCAUCAAUCCACAUAGAGAUCGUUCAUUGUAGGAAAAUAACCCACAAGAAAACAACAAAUAAAUCUCACAAACUCAAAUCAUAGUUAUUAAACGCGAUCCAGUUCGACGGUUGAACCGAUUGACUCGAUGAUCCGGACAUUAGACCGGACUGGGUCUCUAGUUUGAUUGAACAAGAAAUUAAUCCAAUCAAAUUCUGACAAACCCAUUUGACCCAAUGAUUCAACCAAGAAUCUACCCAAUUUUUCAAUUGACCCGAUUUAUUUUUUUUCUUAAUUAUGGGUCUUUGUUUUUGAAACAAAAUAUAUAUAUUGUUUUUUAUAAGAUUUGUACAUUAGAUCUUCAUUUAACUAUGUAUAGACUUUAUCACUUUCUUAGUUUAUAUUUGAUAUCUAAAUUUUUUAAAAAUAAAAUUAGUUAUUUUUUUUAUACAAUUAAUCCCUUUAACUUUUAUACUAACAAUAUUUGAUUAGUUAGAAAAUUACUUUAUUUUUAAAUAAAAAAAUAUAAUAAUAAAAAAUAAUGCUAUAUUUUAUAAAACAAGCGAUAUAAUUUUUGUUUUAUACUUGACUAUAUUAUUUAUUUAUUUAAAAGUAGGAUAAAAUGAAAUUAGAUCUUUUAGUAAUAUCUAUAUAUUUAUUAUAUAUAUUUCCAAGUAUAAUAAUUAGUAUCUAAAAACACUUUAUUAUAUGGUUUAUAUAUAUAUAUUAAAAAUGCAAUUUUAUAAUUAUAAAUAUUAAAUUAAUACUCACCCGUUCAACCAGUGAUCCAAUCCUACUACUGGGUUCCUUACCGGGCCGCGUUUAAUAACUAUGACUCUAAUUCAGUAAGCAGUCGGAAACAAUUAGAUAAAACAGAAAACAACGGCACGCACCAAAAGCGAAGACGAAAUGUAAUGGUACAUGAGUAGGAAAAUACAAGUUUCAGGAGGCAAGCUCUCAAAUUUAUUCCUCAAAUAUCCACGGCCCGCUUCCUCAAACAUGAGUACAUAUAUCUAUAGAUAUUACUAGUUCCCUAAAACACUGGACACCGAAUUAAUCAAGGAAAAGAUAAUACAAUUGGACUCGGACACUUUAACCGACAUAAGCCCAAGGAGACUAAAUACGACUCGGACGUCACACCAAUUUUGGACGCUGAACUAAAUAAUUAAAUAAGACUUGGUUUAACUUUCUACAUUGCCACCCUUAAACCAAGGUCUUCAAAAUCUGCUAGUUUUCUUAGAAAGAAAAAUAGCAUAAGAAAGAAUAUUUGGAGAACGAAAUAGACCUUAAAAUCUGCUAUGUGCUUCGAAUGAUCGCGGCCGAAUACUAUGUUAUUACACAUCAAACUAUCUGCUCUUCUCAGCUGGCAUUGAGGUUGGUAGUGUUCCAAAGACCUUAUCCCAUAAUGAGGAAGUGAUACCAAAGCCUUUAUUUUGGAUACGAAAGUGAUGAUUCAAAUGAUAUUUCUGCAAAAGAGAGAUGAUCAGAAAGAUAUGCAGAUCAAACCACUUGUGCAGUGGAGAAAUUCCUACCUUCUUCCAGGUUCAGGUGACAAAACGGCCCCAACUGAAUCAAGAAUUCAUACGGGCAACGGAAAAUUUGAUUUGUUCAUGACAGAUCAUUCUAGAUAUGGGGCUAAUGCAAGUCUAUGCAAAUUGUUUCUACUAAAAUGAUAGCAUGUAUCUACGAUCCGAGUUUGUACAUAAUUUUUAGUAUGUAGAUUGUUUUUUACACACAUGUAAAUGAGAAAUGUAAUGAGACUCAAGUUGUUCUGAUGGAUUUGUAUCUCUUUACCUUGAGGUUUUUUGGCACUUCACUUGUAGGCUGCCCAUGGUGCAAGUAAUAAUGGGUUACAUCAUACAUCACAUAACCCAGUAAACCACCUCCAAACAAAGCAGGAGCAGUAGAAGGAGUAGAAAUGAGUUUAAAAAAGUUGUAGAACUGCAAUACAAGAAGAUUAGUAUCAGAAGAAGAAGAAUGUGCUGUGCAUAUACUCCUAAGAAUUAACUAAAAGGGGCAGACUUGGAAGAAAGGCCCGAGUUUAAGACUGCUUAUCUGACACGUGUAGCCCAAGGCAAGCAUAAAAUGGAUUUGCAUUUCUUUUCAAACAUUUUUCUGUUAUCUGUACUCAUUAGAACAUGAUGUACCGUAUUCUCCAGUUAUCUCGGAUAAAUUCAGUCAAAAUAUUCACUCCAUACAGACAAAAUAUCAACUAAAGCUCAACAAACCUCCAGUGAGAGCUGAAAGAGUAAAUUGGAGCAGUUUAAGACAACCACCAUCCAAAAUGGCAGAAAAUCAGACGCUGAAACCAGACUCGAACUUGUUGUUUAGACAGUUUCAGUAGGUGAAAGUUCACUAUGUACUGGUCAGUACCAGUCUAAGCAACUACAUUUUCAACAUAUUCAAUGGAAUGUCACAAGCAAAUUUUUCUCCCUCCAUGCAUCUUACUCUCGAAGACAACAAAUAUUCAUGUCCAGUGCCUCUUAGAUGUCAUUGCUAACCCAGUAGCUACUAAAUUGUAUUUCUAGAAUUAUGGAGCAGAUAACAUCUUGCCCUCUCCCUCCCUCUCCCAUGGGGCAUGAAUCUGGUGGCCACCAGCCCGAUGUCAUCCUCAACCUAAAUGCUAGCAAGGGAAGAACUUUGAUGCAAUGGCUACUCACUUAGGAAUAGUACAGAAAUCAGCUGCUAGCAGUAUGUCACAGUCAAAAACAAGUCUCACAGUUGAGAUUCCUAUGAAAAUUUCAUAUCCCUGACCUGGAAUCCUUUUCAGUCACAUGUAUCUUUUAUGCACUUUUAGUAAAUGUGUCAAAAAAAUUGCAUGAUUACAUGACCUGACUUGGUCAAUUACUGGCAGGAACAUUUGUCUGAAAGACAUGCGAGGAUCCCAGUAACUACCAAAUAGCCUUACUAUGAAUAUUGUAAAGCAUAGCACGAGUUAUUAGUAACGGGAAGGGAGUGAAGAAAGAAAAUACAGGCUUUAUACAGUAUGAAUAAAAAACGAAACGCUGCAGAAGGAAACAUACAGGUAAGCACAGCACAGCAGUUGCAGCAGGAGGGAAGACAAGGCGCAGACCAUCCAUGGGGUGCUUAUGAUGGCAACCAUGAAGAAGAUAAUGUAUGGUAUUUCCCCUACAACAAGUUUUUACAUAUUUCAUUACAUAGAGAAGAAAAAAAACACAAAUACAAAUAACACCGACAAGAAAGACGACAAACAAUUAACAUGCCUACACACAUAGCAAUGACUAACCAAUAACUUUUCGUCUUGAUGUGGAAAAGGAAACGAUGUAGAGUGUAUUCUAGCAAAGUCCAUACACCGAUUCCAGUUACCACCGUCAGAGCUAUUUGAGGAAGUGUAUGACCCAUCACAAUCGACUUUGAAACAAACCAACAUACAACUGGGAGCCAAACAAUGGGGAUUACCCACCAUUCUGUGCGGGUUAAAAACUAUUUCGAGUAAAAAUGAAAUCAACAUCAGCUCUGUGAAGCAUGACUUGAUAACAUACAUAUAAUAAUUAUUCAAGUGUCAAUAUAAAUGAAUAAUCAUAUUAUCAAAUUCACCAGAGAGUAUACCUCCCAAAAGUCACUUCCAAAAAAUCGGGGACCUUCCUUGCUAACUAUAGGCUGGUGAACCCACUCCUGAUAAGAUUCUCCAAGAUGACCUACCUGUGUAAGAUUUCAAAGAAUUUCAUAAAGCAAAUUCAAAAAGUUAAAGUAUGGUUUAAUUGACUUAAACAAAUAUAUCUCUUAUGUGGAACAGCAGCACUAGUAUCCAUCAGCUAGAAAAGGUUACAAGUCAAAAAGGAAAACAUGUUCUGCUGCAUGUUAGUAAAACAAACGAAUUGGUCUAUUAUAAGGCAAAAUGCCAUCUUGCCCAGUUCAACAAACUUUUUAUGCCUAGUUUUGUUUGUCCUUUUCACGGCUUGGGGGGUUUAUUUGUUUUGUGGGUGGUGGGGGGGGGGGGCGGCGAAGAAAAAUGCAGGACUUAGACCUGUUGAUGUUUUCAUUUCUCUACCUUAUAGUUUCCUCUUUGAACUGAGAAUAGAAAGAUAAACAUGGCUGCAUCACUAAAUCUAGAGCAUAAAAAUACAAUGCAACUGGCAGGCUAUGAUAUUGCUAACAACAGUUUAUUUAAGUACUCACUGCAUGGGAAGGACAAAAUUAAGGGAUGCCAUUAACUCAACUUUUGCUUCUAUUCACCAUAGGAAUCUGUCAUUUCUAGUGACUGCAAGACACUGAACUAAUUACAAGGACUCUAGCAUGGGUGUCACGUCUGGGUGCUCCUCUAGGUAUCAGAUUCAUAAACUUUCUAGAAUUUGGGAUACUGGGACCGCCAAAGAGUCAGGUUUAUCUGGAUAUAGUAGAGAAGAUAUACAUAAACAUAUACAUACAUAUAUUAUAUUAUAUUAUACAUACAUACAUAUAUAUUAUAUUAUAAUGUAUAAUAUUAUAUUAUAUAUUAUACAUAUAUUAUAUUUUUCGGCUAAUAGUGUACUUUAUUGAAUCUCUUCUGAAUGAUAACUAGUGAGAGGAGGAAAAGUUUCAGAGAAAAGGCAAGGGUGGACCACAGACAUAUGAUUUAAGGUAUUAGGCUACUCAUGGAGUGUGUUAUUUGCUUGACUAUCAAGUAGUGGAGAAGACAAUGAAAUUGGUAUAGUAUAUAAAAUCAAUAAAAGUACUUGUGAUAUAUUCAACAUCAUCGUCAUGUGAGCCAAUGAGGUUACUCUCAACUUUCUGAUACAUAUUCAAUUGCUUAUCUUUUAUCUUUUGAAAUUGAAGUCUUCUGAUCUCUCUCACAUCUACUACUCCUUGCUUACCCUUUCCCUUUCUUUAAUACGCUUUGAUUUCAGUGAAUCUCUGAAACAAAACCACCAUAUCCUCUCAUCUCCCUCUCCUGCAAGUUCCGAUCUUCUUCCCAUUCAUCUCACACCUGAUCGAAUUCAGAGCUACCAAGCAGCCAAGUAUCAAUUUAUUUUGACCAUGUUUGACACGGAUAUUACACCUGCACCCUUCACUUGUUACACCGACACUGGUGUUCCAGGGAUGAGUUAAGAGUCUGUAAAUAUAAUUCAUAAUUCCUAGAAGAAUAAUAGCUUGGCAUGCAAAGAUUUCAACUCUGUAUUCAGACUAAAGCAUUAAGACCAAAGAUAUUGUAAGUGAAAGAUAAAAAGAAUUAGGAGUUUUCACCUGGAAGACAAGAGGUUUGUUUAAAUCAACUGUGAAACCCUGAGCCACCAUCUUGGCACCAAACUAUAAAUGGUGUGACAUAUCAAAGGAAAUGAAAGAAUGAUUAGGCAGAUACAAAUAGGAUCAAAACCUAGUGAAAGAAUUUACACAUGAUGAAAAAUUUAGAAUAGCUUUUAGAACCAAGCUGAAGUAAUGAAACACGAACGUGAACCGAUCAUGAAUGACAAUAAUUGAAUUGUCACAACUUGAUUUAAGAAUUUCACACGAGCAACGUACUUCCAUCAGGCCUCAAAACCAUACAAAGGCAAGCAAAGCAAAGGACACAACACAACUUUAUGGAGGAAACAAUUCCAUUUUAUGAUGUUCCCUACUCUUCCAAUCUGCAUCUCCAUCCUUUAUUCCAAGAACUCCUAACGUAUUAAUCCUAGGCAAAUGACACAAGUAGCCAAUUUAGUCGAAGUAAUAGUAGGGAAAAAUGUACCACUCGAGUGCAGGGGAACUUGAUUAAAAUGGUACACAAGAUCAAUUUAACAUAAAAUAAGUAAGAAUAGCAGUUAUGGUCCUGCCACAAACCCAACUUAUGCCAAAUUGAAUAGAGCAUUAGGACUACAGCAUGGAGCUAGAGCCUUUGGUACAAGUACAAACACACAAUACCAAAAUUUGACAUGAGCAAAGGACAUAAAGAACACAAGGGAACUCACAUUUGCUUGGUAUACUGUCAUUUUGGAAUGCAAGCAAUUUCACAUUUUUUGUAAAACAAUACUAACCGAAUUUAGCAGAUAACAGAAUGAUUAGGGAUCUUGACCGAAUAUCUAGUAAAAAAAAUCCUGCACAGUGUCAAGUAGAUCUUAACAUACAUAUAUUGAUCUUGAAGAAAUGCCUUUUUGCAUAUUGAAACAUAAUAUUGGACACCAUCUCAGCAACAUCUACUAAACUAACUAGCAACAGAUAACAAGAAACACCAAAUAGCCAAUUAGCUUUGGCUUUCUCCUUGAAACUUUCCAAGAACCAUUUUUUUCCCAUACUGAAACCACCCUUCAAUUCUGAUUAAACACAUAAGAUAGCAUCCAUCCCAAAUGCUGUAAAAGUUGGGUCUUUUUCCAAGCUUUUAAAUCCAACCCAAAAUGCAGGUUACCAAUUAGAUCAAAACCCAAAAAGGGUUCUCAUUAUAUCACCAUUACAACAGAUCUACCAACCAAACAAUCAAUCAAAAACUUCAACUUCUCCCCAAAAGUUCAGAACAAGUAAAAACGAAGAUGAAACAAUGAUAAACAAGCACCGACCCAGAACAAUGCAGGCCUGAUCGGUGAAGUCCACAAAGGAAUUGGACCCGUUCAGGAAGAGGAAAACUGCUAUCCGCAAUAGCAAUUGCAACAGCAGCAGCAGCAGAAGGCAGGUGUCUUUGCUGCCACCCGUUCUAGUAUGGUAGCAGUGAAGAGUUAGGGACCAUUAGGUGGAUAAUUUAUUACUUAAUUUACUAGUAUUAGUAUCAGUAAUAGUUAUUUUUUUGAAUAUUUGGAGAAAUUUUUGGGGAAAGGAUGGAUCUUGACCUUAGAUUUUGAUAUCGGCACCUGGAAUGGCACCAUCAGCCACCGGAUUUGCACGUUAGAAUCUUGAGAUUGACAGCCUGGCAAGGUGAUGGAGAUACAACUCAUACUUGUCUCUGUCCAUGUCUUGUUUGUUCCUUGUUGAGAGUCCUGUUCCCGCCGGUUUUCUUUUGAAUUUCAAGUUUUUUUUGCUACAUUUAAUUCUAGGGACAAUAUAAGAAACCUCCCUGAGGCUUUUGACAAUUGCACUAGCAUUCACUGAAUUUUGCAAAAUUACACAAACCUCGUUGAGGUUAAGGUUUUGAUAACGAAAUUAGUCCAAUUAAAAAAGUAACAUUAAAAAUACUUUAAGGAAAGAGAUGAAACUUUUAUUUCAUAAAUACUCCUUAUGCAUAUAUAAGUUGUAUUAGUAAAAGAAUAAAAAUUAGAAAUAAAUAAGAAAAAUGACUAGUUUCAUCCCUCACAUUUUAUAAAAAUAUUCUUUUCGUCCCUCGCUUUUAAAAUGAAGUGAAUUUCGUUAUUUGACAUUUAAAAACUAAACUAUUACAUCCCUGUACGCAACUUUCAAUCUAAGUCCAAUCACCCAACAACCCGAUUACAAAUUUCAAGGUUAUAAUUGGUAGAUCAUUUGGUUAACUCAACUUAAUAUUCAUAUGAAAAUUAAUGAACUCAAAAAAGGAAAAUAAAUAAUUAUAACAUAAAAAAGAAGAAUUAUUCUUUCCUAUAUUGUCAUUGUAUAUAUUGAUAGGUCUAAAUACCUACCACAUCAUUUCAAUUGAAAUUUAAAUAACAAACUUGUAUGUAUGGUAUAUAUCUAGAUUCACAAGUAUAUACACUAACGGUACAUGAAAAAAUUUACCUAAAAAACAAACUCUACUAUUCCAAGACAAAAGAGCGACCUUUUCUAUUAUAAUUUUUUAUUUUUCAUUUUUUGGUUCAAUAAAUGUCAUGUAAAUGUAAUGGAGUUGACCAAGUGAUCCAUCAAUACUAUCCAUGAAAUUCGUUACUGGGUUAUUGAAUGGUUUGAUUCAUAUUAGAAAGUUGGGUUCAUGAAUGCAAUAGAUUCAAUUUUUAAAUGUUAGGGAUGAAUUUGCUUUGUUUUAAAAGUAAUGGAUAAAACAAUAUUUUCCAAAAUGUGAGGGACGAAACCAGUUAUUUUUUCAAAUAAUUAAUACACACAUUUCACCAUUCAAAAAGAUCAUAUUCAAUAAAUUAGAUAACACAAAUAAACAAGAAAACUACACUAAUGAUCACAAGAUUUAGCAAAACAAACUAGUCAUCUCUUUUAACGUGAUGUUUGCUAUAAUUCUUGUGUUUUUUAAUAGAAAAAAUUUUCUAAUUUUGCCUUUCUUUCGCCUUUACUUCCACAAAAUUACUUUCCAACUGUCACAACUUUAAGAGUUUCAAAGAAAAUAUUCUCAUGAACAACCUUCUUUUGUCCUAUUUUUUUUUCUUCUAUCAAAGUCCUUCUUCUCACAUUAUGUACAGCUGAUUUUUGGUCAUUGUCAAAUUCUAUCAAUCACAAAAUAGGGUCAUUAGGUAUAUCAAUUGGUGUUAUUUUGUAAUUACAAGUCAUCGUUCAUUAUUAAAUAAUUUCAACAGUUAUUUUCAUUAAUUAGUUACUAAUAGUUAAUUAGUGUUCUAAUUACUUAAUCGUUAGAUACUAGUUUCUAAUAAGACAUUAUGUCUUAAGGUAAAUGAAUAAUUUCUCCCCAUGUGAGGUAAGUAACUAGAGGUGGCAAUUUUCGACACGACCUAAAAACACGACACGAACCUAACACGAAAUUAAUGGGUUUGGGUUGAGGUUUCGGGAAUUCGGGUCAGAAUCGGGUUGGACCCGAUGAACCCGAAAAGAAAACAGGUCGAUUUCGGGUCAACCCGUGGUGACCUGAUAUGACCCGUUUACGAAUUAAAAAAAUUUAAUAAACAUAAAAAUAAUUUUAUCUAACUAAACUAAGUUAUUCUUUUUUUCAAAGGCAUUAAUUACUUAAUCCUAAAUGAAUUUAUUUAAUUUGUGUGAAGUUGAAAUUAUUAUAUUUGGACAAAUAAUAUAUUAUAUUAUUUUUUACUUUUAUAUUGUUUUAAUUUAUUUUAUAUUUUGUUUGGAAUAAAACACUUUUACGGUGUUUAAUUUAUUUUAGAUUUGGUUUGGAAUUAUUUAUUUAAAUUUUUAUUACUUGAUUAUGUAAUUAGUUUUGUGAGAAAUUGAUUUUAUUAGAAAUUACAGUGAUAAAUUAAUAAAUUAAAAUUAAGUUUCGGGUCAUUUCGGGUCGACCCGCCAACCCGUCAACCUGAAAUUUUCGGGUUCGGGUCAGCACACCUGACCUGUCACGGGUUGGCGGGUCGGGUUCGGGUCAACAGAUUUUCUGGCGGGUUCACCCGAACCCGACCCGCCAACCUGAUUUGGAUCCGAAUUGCCACCCUAUAAGUAACUAGGCCCACAAUUCUAAUCAAGAGAGAUGAGUGUAAUUUUAAAAACCUCAGAGGACACCAAUAAAAUUGUCAGAAACCUCGAUGGAGGUUUCUGAAAGUAUCCCAAAAAGAAAAGGAAAGAGAAAGAAAAGAAAAAUGUCCUUGGAACAACUUGAGGAAAUGAUCAUUUUAGUCUUUCAAAUUUUUUUAUUAGUGCCUUUUUGUUUUGGAAAGAUUUCAAAUGGCAAUAGAGUCGUAAGAGAAUCAAGUAGGACACGAAAUUAAAGUUUAAGGAUUAAAUUGACAAAAUAAAAAUCGAGAAACUAAAUUGACUUUAGUAAAACAGGUGAAAGACUAAGGAGCCAUUUGAUUGAUUGCUAUUUUUUAGAGUUUUGUAAAAAAAUGUACUGUAUCGAUUUGAUAUAUGAGGUAAAAUGGUGAUUUUUUGUAUUGGAAGUUAUUUGAAACAAGUUUUUUUGUAUUAUUUGCCGUAACAUUUUUUGUCUUAUUAUGUAUGAGAUGUAAACCUGAUUUUGAAGAUAACAAGUGGUUUGAAAAUAUGUUUAAGGAAUAAUACAAAAAAUUAUAAAUAAUGAGUAAUCCAAUCAUAAUUCUCUUUUUCAUCCUACUAAGAGUUUAGCACUCAAUCUCCACUUAGUUCAGAUUACAUUCCUUCUCCAAAAAAAUGUGCUUUAUGAUAUGAUAUAUAUAAGACAAAAAAAAUUCUGAAAAGAUAGAGAUAUGAAUGGUGCCUUGUUAGUGAACAAUCCAAAAUAUGUAACAAAUAACAAGCAAGCAUAUAUACAGAUGUGUUAAUAAUUUGGGUUAUUACGUUUACCACCCUUGAGGUUUGGUCAAACUACUAAAUAAACCUCAAAAUUUAGCCAAAUAACAACCAAACCCUUUGAAUGAAAAGAUGUAUCAAAAUACCCUGAUGUCUUUCACCAUUAAAAAUGGUGUUAAUCAGAGUUCAAAAAUGCCCAUGUACAUCGAAUCUAUUCUAAAGCAACAAGAUAUAGCUUAUCAAAUGUCCUAAUUUGCUCAACAAAUUUUUUGACUGAAAAUCUUAGAAAUGGGUUUAGAGGUUUGGGGUCUUUAGGCUCCUAACCUCGCUUAGUUGUAGGCUUGUUUAUGCUCUAUGCAUGAUUAUUUUGUUAUAACUAUUGUGGGUUUUGCGCUUGAUUUCAUUGGGGAAAGAAAAGGAGUGCUACUGGUUUGCCUUCUUUUGAUUGGUCUAUAGCCACUGUGGGCCAAAUGCAAAUUUCACUUAAAAAGUCAGGCAGUAGGGAGUUACUGCUGGUAUCACAGUUGCUCUAAAAUAUUAGCCAAGAAGAUCAAGAUAAAUUAGAAAAAAGAAAUUAAAAAGGGAUUAAUGAGGGUUUGUCAAAACUAUGACAUUUUGGACAUAGGGGUUUUGGUCUUAUCAAUAAUUCCGUUUACAAGAUUUAACAGAAAUUACUCCCAAGGGGCUAUCUGUUAUUUGGUCAAACUUCAAGGUUUGAUCAGUAGUUUGGUUAAACCUCAAGGGAGGUAAAUGUAAUUAAUUCUAAUAAUUUUGUUGUUGCUUUCUUUCUUCAAAUUGAGGCUUUUGGUAAAAGAGAAGAGCUUCGGAUAAGGAUUGGGUUCAUCUGCUAGUUAGUUUUUGUUAUUUUCUAAAUAUGUAGUCAUAUGUGUUAGAAGAUAUUGAAAAUAUUGGAUUUUUGGCUAAGUCUUUUCUAAGUGUAGUCAUAAGCUCUAAUUUGGGAGGUAAUUCCUGGGACUUUCGGCUAAUGCAGUCCGGGAUGGGAAUCUAAGAGUACUUGUAAAGCUCCAAGAUGUCUAUUUUCUUGUAUGGUGAGUGAUUCAAAUGAUCUUUCCAACAAAAACAAUGAAAAAAAAAAAGAAGUUGAGAGAAAUACUUCAACAAGUGCAAAAAGUGGUUUUUUUUCCCGAGAUGUAGAUUUUGAAAACCACUCGCAACAAAUUUUUUUCAGACUUUAAGAAAUCACAUAACGUUUGAAGGUUAUUUCGUAGUUUUGUAGCACCUUUUGAUGAUGAUUUCACUUAUUACAUUGAAAAAUGUGUGAAAAUGGUGCAAUAGAAUGAUUAAUUAACAAAGACAGUGCAAUUUUGUAUAUUAAAGAACAUUUAUAUCGCUUCUCCACUAAAUGUAUGGUUUUUUUUGUACGUCUAAUUAUACAUCCUGUCAAAAAGUUUGUAUAAAUACCCUUGAAUUUGAUAACAAGUAGUAUAUAAUUGCAUAUUUCUUUUACAUUUUUUUCCCUUGGACAAAGCCACAUGUUAUAUUUGAGAGUCUCGCAAGCGGCCGUUCCCGCUUUGGUGAUGAGUAAAAAGAGUUUUUUUUUGUCGCAACGAUAACAUUUCUAUAAUCUACUCUAUUCUAUUUUAGGGGAUAAGGGAACUUAACCGACAUGAAACACCAUUGGAGGAAAUCAUUGAGAGUGGCAAAUCAUAAAUAGUGGCUGGUGGGAGUAAAAAGAGUGCUGAAGAGGGCAAAAUUGCAUCGUUCAUUAAUUGACAAUGUUAGCAGUUAGCACUGCCUUUUUCACUAAUCUUGGCUCUUGGGUAGAAAGGCCUAUGAGUCUGACCUUAAUAUACCUUACCAAGUCUUACACCCAAAUUUCCUUUACUCAUUUGGCGAAGUGCUUGCUUCACCAUGUUGAUGCAAAUUCGUGCCAGGAGUAGAAAAUCUGUACCUUUGACCAUCUGUGUCAAAGUAGCUUAUGGGCAGCUGAAACACUAUAACUACAUCCAAGUAGCUUAUGGGAUGCUGAAACACUAUUUUCACCGUAACUUUGCAUGGAAAACUUGGAAUUGAAUGUCAUUUGUUGCGUUGAAACUAGAUUUGAAGGGCUUUAAACUCAUGUAAGUGUCUCAUGCUAAUUCCUUACCCAAAAAUUGGCGAACCUUUAAAAUUGACCCUUGUAUUUCACUAGAUUAAGAAGAUAAUAUAAGUUAUCACUUAGGGGUAUUGUUUGGAGUUUUUAUUGUGGUAAAUUAGUGAUGAUGAAGAGUCUUUAGAGCUAAAUUGAUUAUUUUUGUUAUAUCUAAGUAAGUAAGUAGUUAGGCUACAAUUUUGAGUCCAAAAUACAUUUUUUUGUCACAAAUUUCUGUUAUCAUAAUCUUCUUCAAUUAUUUGUUUAUUGUAUACUAAUAUUUAGUCAAAGAAAAAUAUAUUUGAAACUUUUCGUUAUGUCCGCAAUAUUUAAUUAUGCUAUUGUAUAUAACAAAUGAUGCAAUCAUUAAUAAAUGUUAUAUUUAACUAAAUACAUAGUGUUUAAUUAUCUUAUCAAUAAAUACUUAAAUGAUCUUAUACAGAUAAGUCAACUUUUCCACCUAUCUUGUCCAUUAAUUACGUUUGGAUUUUAAAAUAAGAAAGAACAAGAUUUUUAGUUUGAUCACAUGCAUUACAAUAUGUUACAUGUAGUUCCAAAAUUUUUAUUUUGGACUACCCCUAAUAUUUUAGAUAGCACAAUUUUAGCCUUAAUUGAUUAUACUAUUAUAUUAAUUGUACAUGAGUUACAUUAUUUAUUGCUCUAUAUGUGAAUUGCAAAUUUAAAAAUUAUUAGUAUGAGCAUUUUUUUACAUUUUUAUAGGAUCUAUCGAUCCAAUCCUGCAACCAAAACGAUCCUAAGUAGAAUCCCGAUUUUGAAAGCCUUGCGUCCAACCCCUUUCAAUCAUCUUCACUUGCAUGUGCUAUAUCAGAUAUCCACAACCAUCAGCACUCUCAAACAGUCUCUUUGGAAUUUGCAAGUGAGUUUUCAAGAUACCAAAAAUUGUUGACUCGGUGUUUCAAAAAUAAAAAUUUGUUGACUCGGGACUUUGCUUUACAAAAAUGUCCCUUUUGAGUUCUAUGGACAUGUACAAUGUUGCAAGCAAAUUGAGUAAAUGGUGAACCGACUUGGUCAAAGCUCGAACUCAAAUUGACUUAACAAAAUGUGAAUUAGUGUCAGGACUUGGGGCUUAAUUGUAAAUAGUAAUAAAUAAUAACAGUUUCUGUUAUUGGUAGUUAAGGUGCUGAGUCAGAUGACGUCAGCAGGUCAGUUUGUUAAGUUGGUUAGUGAUCGUGUAGGUCAUUCCUUUAUAAUGAGCUCUCUGCAAUUGCAGAGGCAUGAAGAGAAAUAACAGAAUUGAUUCUUCUCCCUCAAGCUUUCACUCUCUGUCUCUCUCUCUUUUCCUUUCUCUCCUACCCUUCUCCCUCUCUUGUUCUUCAUUCCACAGCUGCAUUGCAGCUCUAUCUCAGGAAUUCUACUUGAAUUCCGGACAAUUGGUACCAGAGCAGCGAUUCUCGGACUGAUUGCAACUAUUAACAAUGCGGAAGGCACACGAUUCAAGAAUAUGGAUGAUCAAUUGAUGAAACAGGAAGUACGACUGCAGGAAGCUCUGUAAACAAUUUUCUCUCUCCAACAGAAUCAACAAGAAGUCCAGCAGCAAUUGCGGGGAGAGAUGGAGAAUUCUAACAAGAAAUGAGAGCAUUAAUCUCAGGCAUGGACCAGAAGCUCAACGCAUUGAUCCAAAUUAUGGCCAGAGAGAAGCAAUUGGAAAAAGAUGAGGCAGUUCAACCAGAGAAAACUCCAUUUCUACCAACACCCCCAGCACACACGAAGCUCCAGUCUGAGCUUGGUGUUAAUCAGUGCUCCAGAGCCAAGCCUUCCAAGGUAUUCUUACCAAAUCCCCCAAAGAUUGAGUUACCUCUUUUCACUGGAGAGAAUCCACGCAUUUGGCUUCGUAAAUGUCAGAAAUAUUUCCUCACCUACCAAAUUCCUCCAGACCAGCAAAUGGAAGUAGUUGAGAUGUUUUUGGACAGUAAGGCGGAUGUAUGGUAUCAAGGCAUCAAAAUGGAAUUCCCAGAGUUAUCUUGGCAACUAUUCACUGAAUUGCUCGGUGAGAGAUUCGCGCGAAAAAGGAGCUCGGAUGUAGUAGAAGAUUUCAACAAACUGCAGCAAGUAGGGACAGUGGAGGACUACCAGGAAAGGUUUGAGGAAUUAAAAUCGUUGAUGUUAGUUAAAAAUCCUCACCUAUCCGAAUCAUAUUUCGUUUCAAGCUUCAUUAGUGGAUUGCGAGAUGAAAUUAAGACUAUGGUAAAAAUGUUGAAGCCAAACAAGGUGUCAGAUGCUAUGGACUUAGCCAGGUUGCAGGAGGAAGCCUGGAGGUUACAGCAGAAAUCUGCUAAGGAAUUACCAAAGUCGCCUGUUGAUCCUAAGUUUGGCUUAUACAAAGGUACUGCUGCUGUUCCAAAUGCCUAUAAAAUUUCACCGACUAAUGUAAUCAAAAGUGAGACUAGUUCAGCUACACCAAUCAGGAAAAUAUCGCCUCAAAAAAUACAAUUUAGAAGGAAUAAUGGACUGUGCUUCAAGUGUGGUGAACGUUUUGGGGCAGGGCACCAGUGCAAGAACAGACAACUGAACAUGAUGGUAGUCGAUGAGGAAGAUGAAGGAGAAUUCUUGGAUGCUGUAGGGGAGCAAGAUGAAAGGACAGGCAACCCUGGAGAAUUGAUGGAGGUAUCACUCCAUGCACUUUCUGAGGCACUGAAGAGGAAAACAAUCACUCUCAGGGAAGAAAUCAGGGGAGUUCCCAUACAUAUUCUGGUGGACAUAGGUAGUUUAGACACCUACAUUAGCCACCAUCUGGUUAAAGCUCUAGAAUUGCCAUAUGUGGUCACCACUCCUUUCACAGUAGUUUUUGGGGAUGGCUCAAUGAUAUCAGGAUGCACUAAAAGUCCUAAGGUACUUUGGUCCACUAAUAAUCACAAAUUCUGUUUUGACAUGGGGGUCAUGGAGCUAGGUGGAUAGGAUCUGAUUUUAGGGGUGGAUUGGAUGGCUCAUUAUAGCCCCAUCAUAUUUGACUUCCACAAGCUCAUUAUAGCUAUUCAUAGUGAAGCGGAAGAAAUCAUCCUGCAGGGAUGUGUGGUAGAAGCUGAGCUCAAUCUGUUGAGAAACAAGGACCUCAGGAACUUCAUUAAUUACAAACAUAGCUGUUACAGUAUAUCUCAGGGAACAAAUCCAGACGCUGAGUCACCUAUUGAAGUCAAGGAGUUGUUGGGCAAGUACAAGGAUGUGUUUACAGCACCUACAGGCUUACCACCAAAGAGAAGUCUGGAUCAUGCCAUAUCCCUCAAAUCAGAUGCUCAGGCCUUCAAAAUCAAGCCUUACAGGUACCCUCACUCACAAAAAACUGAGAUAGAAAGGCAAGUUAUGGAAAUGUUAGACAGUGGGAUCAUUAAGCAUAGUAAUAGUCCCUAUGCUUCACCUGUGUUGCUGGUCAAAAAGAAAGAUGGCACCUGGCGUUUUUGUGUUGACUAUAGGCACCUGAAUAAAUUGACUAUCAAGGACAAGUAUCCCAUCCCUAAUAUUAAGGAGCUGAUAGCUGAGUUAUGUGGAUCCAAAUAUCAUUCCAAAUUAGACUUAAGGGCAGGGUAUCACCAGGUUAGAGUUAAAAUCCAAGAUGUGCAUAAGACUGCCUUCCAAAUUCAUGAAGGGCAUUAUGAAUUCCUAGUCAUGCCUUUUGGGCUGACAAAUGCUCCAGCCACUUUCCAGGCAUUAAUGAAUUAGGUUUUUCAGACAUAUCUGCGCAAGUUUGUGUUAAUAUUUUUUGAUGACAUACUGGUCUGCAGCAAAGAUCUAGAUCAGCAUGUGAGACACUUGGAGAUGGUAUUGAAGGUACUGAGAGAGCAUCAACUGUAUGCCAAACUGUCUAAAUGCUCAUUUGCUCAGCAGAGGAUUGAAUAUCUGGGACAUAUGAUUUCAUCAGAGGGGGUAAGUAUGGAAGAAGGAAAGAUCAAAGAUGUUCUAGAUUGGCCUACCCCCAACUCAGUUAAGGCAUUAAGGGGAUUCCUAGGCCUUACGGGCUACUAUAGGCGAUUCAUCAAACAUUAUGGGAUCAUAUGUAGGCCAUUGACAGAUCUACUCAAAAAGGAUAGCUUCUGCUGAAAUGAACAAGCAGAUGCUGCCUUUAGAAAACUUAAGCAAAUCAUGUGUACUUCACCAGUUCUCAGACUACCAGAUUUUGAGAGGCCAUUUGUGAUUGAGACAGAUGCCAGUAAUGGAGGCAUAGGUGCAGUGUUGCAGCAGGACUCUCAUCCCAUAGCUUACCUCAGUAGAGCUCUAUCAACAAGGAAUUUGGAUCUAUCUGUCUAUGAGAAAGAGUUAAUGGCCUUGGUGUUAGCUGUGACCAAAUGGAGACAUUAUUUAGUGGGACACAUUUCAUAAUUAAGACUGAUCACCAGUCAUUAAAAUAUUUGUUGGAACAGAAGUUAACCACACCCUGCACAAGUGGUUGACUAAACUUUUAGGCCUGGACUAUGAGAUCAGUAUAAGAAGGUAGUGACAACACUGCUGCUGAUGCUCUAUCUAGGAAAACGUUCUGUGGCCAGGAAGACCAGCCAGAGAACUCCCUUACUAGCAAUUUCUGCAGUCAAACCCAAAUGGAUGGAGGAAUUAUACAGAAGCUAUGAAGGGGAUGAGCACUGGCAAUCUGUUAUAGCUCAAUGUCUGCUGGACUCACACACACAUAGUGAUUAUCAGAUCUUAGAUGGCAUCAUUAAGUACAAGGGAAAAUUGGUAGUAGGUUAGCAAAUGAUAUCAGGAGCUCCUUACUCAAGGCAGUACAUGAUACUGCUCUGGGAGGGCACUCAGGCCAAAUGGGACUUAUCAGAAGCUGAAAGUCGUAUUCUAUUAGGAAGGAAUGAAGCAAGAUGUGAUCAAGUUUGUCAGUGCUUGUGACAUGUGCCAGAGGUGCAAGCAUGAAAAUGUGUCUUACCUAGGUUUGUUGCAGGCUUUGACUAUCCCUGAUAAGGCAUGGUUCCACCUCACCAUGGACUUCAUUGAGAAGUUACCUAUGUCACAGGGAAUGGAUACCAUUCUGGUGGUCAUAGAUCGCUUCACAAAAUAUGCACAUUUUCUGGCACUCAGACAUCCUUUUACAGCCACACAGGUUGCACAGCUCUUCCUGGACAGUGUAUACAAGCUACAUGGAUUGCCAGUGUCUAUUGUCAGUGAUAGAGAUAAAAUUUUCACUAGCAAAUUUUGGCAGGAGUUAUUCAGAUUGAUGGGAGUAGCACUACACCUGAGCUCUUCCUAUCAUCCCCAAACAGACGGUCAAUCAGAAAGACUUACCGGGCCGCGUUUAAUAACUAUGACUCUAAUUCAGUAAGCAGUCGGAAACAAUUAGAUAAAACAGAAAACAACGGCACGCACCAAAAGCGAAGACGAAAUGUAAUGGUACAUGAGUAGGAAAAUACAAGUUUCAGGAGGCAAGCUCUCAAAUUUAUUCCUCAAAUAUCCACGGCCCGCUUCCUCAAACAUGAGUACAUAUAUCUAUAGAUAUUACUAGUUCCCUAAAACACUGGACACCGAAUUAAUCAAGGAAAAGAUAAUACAAUUGGACUCGGACACUUUAACCGACAUAAGCCCAAGGAGACUAAAUACGACUCGGACGUCACACCAAUUUUGGACGCUGAACUAAAUAAUUAAAUAAGACUUGGUUUAACUUUCUACAUUGCCACCCUUAAACCAAGGUCUUCAAAAUCUGCUAGUUUUCUUAGAAAGAAAAAUAGCAUAAGAAAGAAUAUUUGGAGAACGAAAUAGACCUUAAAAUCUGCUAUGUGCUUCGAAUGAUCCGGCCGAAUACUAAGUUAUUACACAUCAAACUAUCUGCUCUUCUCAGCUGGCAUUGAGGUUGGUAGUGUUCCAAAGACCUUAUCCCAUAAUGAGGAAGUGAUACCAAAGCCUUUAUUUUGGAUACGAAAGUGAUGAUUCAAAUGAUAUUUCUGCAAAAGAGAGAUGAUCAGAAAGAUAUGCAGAUCAAACCACUUGUGCAGUGGAGAAAUUCCUACCUUCUUCCAGGUUCAGGUGACAAAACGGCCCCAACUGAAUCAAGAAUUCAUACGGGCAACGGAAAAUUUGAUUUGUUCAUGACAGAUCAUUCUAGAUAUGGGGCUAAUGCAAGUCUAUGCAAAUUGUUUCUACUAAAAUGAUAGCAUGUAUCUACGAUCCGAGUUUGUACAUAAUUUUUAGUAUGUAGAUUGUUUUUUACACACAUGUAAAUGAGAAAUGUAAUGAGACUCAAGUUGUUCUGAUGGAUUUGUAUCUCUUUACCUUGAGUUUUUUGGCACUUCACUUGUAGGCUGCCCAUGGUGCAAGUAAUAAUGGGUUACAUCAUACAUCACAUAACCCAGUAAACCACCUCCAAACAAAGCAGGAGCAGUAGAAGGAGUAGAAAUGAGUUUUACUAAGUUGUAGAACUGCAAAACAAGAAGACAAGUAUCAGAAGAAGAAGAGAAUGUGCUGUGCAUAUACUCCUAAGAAUUAACUAAAAGGGGAAGACUUGGAAGAAAGGCCCGAGUUUAAGACUGCUUAUCAGACACGUGUAGCUGAAGGCAAGCAUAAAAUGGAUUUGCAUUUCUUUUCAAACAAUUUUCUGUUAUCUGUACUCAUUAGCACAUGAUGUACCGCAUUCUCCAGUUAUCUCGCAUAAAUUCAGUCAAAAUAUUCACUCCAUAUAGACAAAAUAUCAACUAAGGUUCCGUUUGAUAAAACUGAAUCUGAAUUCUGAAAUCUGAAUACUGAAACAAUUAAUUUAUUGAAUUUUAAGCACUGAAAAAUAUAUAUGAAUGUCUGAAUUUUAAUGCUAAACCUAUUUAUACUGUUUGAUAAAUAUUUAUAGCUGAAUGCUUAAUAAGUUUAAUUUGACAAUUUUGCUCUUAUAUCCUUUCAUUCAAAAAAGAAAUAGAAUCUAUGAUUUAAUUAGUUUAAAAUUGUUCGAUAUGAAAAUGACAAUAUUUAUUUUUAAAUCAAAUUAAUAUAAAAGAUGAAAUAUAUUAUAUGAGAAGUAUGGAGAAUAUGUGAAAGUCAUUAAAAAGGAGAAAAGAGAAACUAAAAAUCGUUAGAUAGAGAAUAUUAUGUUGUUUAAUUAGAUAAGAAUUUUGAACAUAAUUAACAAACAAUGGUAGAUUUGGUAGAUAAGAUAAGAUAGCUGAAGUAAUUCUAUUGAUUCUUAUCAGAAUUAAGCAUUCAGUUAGGAUUCUUGUGCUGAAAAAAAUACACACAGGUUCAGCACUGCUUAACAAGUUCAGCAAAUAGAUUUUCAUUUAUCAAACACUCAAAACAUCUGAAUGUCUGAAAAAAUUCAGAUUCAGCACUUUUUUAUGUUAUCAAACAGACCCUAAAGCUCAACAAACCUCCAGUGAGAGCUGAAAGAGUAAAUUGGAGCAGUUUAAGACAACCACCAUCCAAAAUGGCAGAAAAUCAGACACUGAAACCAGACUCGAACUUGUUGUUUAGACAGUUUCAGUAGGUGAAAGUUCACUAUGUACUGGUCAGUACCAGUCUAAGCAACUACAUUUUCAACAUAUUCAAUGGAAUGUCACAAGCAAAUUUUUCUCCCUCCAUGCAUCUUACUCUCGAAGACAACAAAUAUUCAUGUCCAGUGCCUCUUAGAUGUCAUUGCUAACCCAGUAGCUACUAAAUUGUAUUUCUAGAAUUAUGGAGCAGAUAACAUCUUGCCCUCUCCCUCCCUCUCCCAUGGGGCAUGAAUCUGGUGGCCACCAGCCCGAUGUCAUCCUCAACCUAAAUGCUAGCAAGGGAAGAACUUUGAUGCAAUGGCUACUCACUUAGGAAUAGUACAGAAAUCAGCUGCUAGCAGUAUGUCACAGUCAAAAACAAGUCUCACAGUUGAGAUUCCUAUGAAAAUUUCAUAUCCCUGACCUGGAAUCCUUUUCAGUCACAUGUAUCUUUUAUGCACUUUUAGUAAAUGUGUCAAAAAAAUUGCAUGAUUACAUGACCUGACUUGGUCAAUUACUGGCAGGAACAUUUGUCUGAAAGACAUGCGAGGAUCCCAGUAACUACCAAAUAGCCUUACUAUGAAUAUUGUAAAGCAUAGCACGAGUUAUUAGUAACGGGAAGGGAGUGAAGAAAGAAAAUACAGGCUUUAUACAGUAUGAAUAAAAAACGAAACGCUGCAGAAGGAAACAUACAGGUAAGCACAGCACAGCAGUUGCAGCAGGAGGGAAGACAAGGCGCAGACCAUCCAUGGGGUGCUUAUGAUGGCAACCAUGAAGAAGAUAAUGUAUGGUAUUUCCCCUACAACAAGUUUUUACAUAUUUCAUUACAUAGAGAAGAAAAAAAACACAAAUACAAAUAACACCGACAAGAAAGACGACAAACAAUUAACAUGCCUACACACAUAGCAAUGACUAACCAAUAACUUUUCGUCUUGAUGUGGAAAAGGAAACGAUGUAGAGUGUAUUCUAGCAAAGUCCAUACACCGAUUCCAGUUACCACCGUCAGAGCUAUUUGAGGAAGUGUAUGACCCAUCACAAUCGACUUUGAAACAAACCAACAUACAACUGGGAGCCAAACAAUGGGGAUUACCCACCAUUCUGUGCGGGUUAAAAACUAUUUCGAGUAAAAAUGAAAUCAACAUCAGCUCUGUGAAGCAUGACUUGAUAACAUACAUAUAAUAAUUAUUCAAGUGUCAAUAUAAAUGAAUAAUCAUAUUAUCAAAUUCACCAGAGAGUAUACCUCCCAAAAGUCACUUCCAAAAAAUCGGGGACCUUCCUUGCUAACUAUAGGCUGGUGAACCCACUCCUGAUAAGAUUCUCCAAGAUGACCUACCUGUGUAAGAUUUCAAAGAAUUUCAUAAAGCAAAUUCAAAAAGUUAAAGUAUGGUUUAAUUGACUUAAACAAAUAUAUCUCUUAUGUGGAACAGCAGCACUAGUAUCCAUCAGCUAGAAAAGGUUACAAGUCAAAAAGGAAAACAUGUUCUGCUGCAUGUUAGUAAAACAAACGAAUUGGUCUAUUAUAAGGCAAAAUGCCAUCUUGCCCAGUUCAACAAACUUUUUAUGCCUAGUUUUGUUUGUCCUUUUCACGGCUUGGGGGGUUUUAUUUGUUUUGUGGGUGGGGGGGGGGGGGGCGGCGAAGAAAAAUGCAGGACUUAGACCUGUUGAUGUUUUCAUUUCUCUACCUUAUAGUUUCCUCUUUGAACUGAGAAUAGAAAGAUAAACAUGGCUGCAUCACUAAAUCUAGAGCAUAAAAAUACAAUGCAACUGGCAGGCUAUGAUAUUGCUAACAACAGUUUAUUUAAGUACUCACUGCAUGGGAAGGACAAAAUUAAGGGAUGCCAUUAACUCAACUUUUGCUUCUAUUCACCAUAGGAAUCUGUCAUUUCUAGUGACUGCAAGACACUGAACUAAUUACAAGGACUCUAGCAUGGGUGUCACGUCUGGGUGCUCCUCUAGGUAUCAGAUUCAUAAACUUUCUAGAAUUUGGGAUACUGGGACGCCAAAGAGUCAGGUUUAUCUGGAUAUAGUAGAGAAGAUAUACAAACAAUACAUACAUAUAUUAUAUUAUAUUACAUACAUACAUAUAUAUAUUUAUAAUGUAUAAUAUUAUAUAUAUAUUAUACAUAUAUUAUAUUUUUCGGCUAAUAGUGUACUUUAUUGAAUCUCUUCUGAAUGAUAACAGUGAGAGGAGGAAAAGUUUCAGAGAAAAGGCAAGGGUGGACCACAGACAUAUGAUUAAAGGUAUUAGGCUACUCAUGGAGUGUGUUAUUUGCUUGACUAUCAAGUAGUGGAGAAGACAAUGAAAUUGGUAUAGUAUAUAAAAUCAAUAAAAGUACUUGUGAUAUAUUCAACAUCAUCGUCAUGUGAGCCAAUGACGUUACUCUCAACUUUCUGAUACAUAUUCAAUUGCUUAUCUUUUAUCUUUUGAAAUUGAAGUCUUCUCAUCUCUCUCACAUCUACUACUCCUUGCUUACCCUUUCCUUUCUUUAAUACGCUUUGAUUUCAGUGAAUCUCUGAAACAAAACCACCAUAUCCUCUCAUCUCCCUCUCCUGCAAGUUCCGAUCUUCUUCCCAUUCAUCUCACACCUGAUCGAAUUCAGAGCUACCAAGCAGCCAAGUAUCAAUUUAUUUUGACCAUGUUUGACACGGAUAUUACACCUGCACCCUUCACUUGUUACACCGACACUGGUGUUCCAGGGAUGAGUUAAGAGUCUGUAAAUAUAAUUCAUAAUUCCUAGAAGAAUAAUAGCUUGGCAUGCAAAGAUUUCAACUCUGUAUUCAGACUAAAGCAUUAAGACCAAAGAUAUUGUAAGUGAAAGAUAAAAAGAAUUAGGAGUUUUCACCUGGAAGACAAGAGGUUUGUUUAAAUCAACUGUGAAACCCUGAGCCACCAUCUUGGCACCAAACUAUAAAUGGUGUGACAUAUCAAAGGAAAUGAAAGAAUGAUUAGGCAGAUACAAAUAGGAUCAAAACCUAGUGAAAGAAUUUACACAUGAUGAAAAAUUUAGAAUAGCUUUUAGAACCAAGCUGAAGUAAUGAAACACAAACGUGAACCGAUCAUGAAUGACAAUAAUUGAAUUGUCACAACUUGAUUUAAGAAUUUCACACGAGCAACGUACUUCCAUCAGGCCUCAAAACCAUACAAAGGCAAGCAAAGCAAAGACACAACACAACUUUAUGGAGGAAACAAUUCCAUUUUAUGAUGUUCCCUACUCUUCCAAUCUGCAUCUCCAUCCUUUAUUCCAAGAACAUCCUAACGUAUUAAUCCUAGGCAAAUGACACAAGUAGCCAAUUUAGUCGGUAAUAAUAGUAGGGAAAAAUGUACCACUCGAGUGCAGGGGAACUUGAUUAAAAUGGUACACAAGAUCAAUUUAACAUAAAAUAAGUAAGGAAUAGCAGUUAUUGGUCCUGCCACAAACCAACUUAUGCCAAAUUGAAUAGAGCAUUAGGACUACAGCAUGGAGCUAGAGCCUUUGGUACAAGUACAAACACACAAUACCAAAAUUUGACAUGAGCAAAGGACAUAAAGAACACAAGGGAACUCACAUUUGCUUGGUAUACUGUCAUUUUGGAAUGCAAGCAAUUUCACAUUUUUUGUAAAACAAUACUAACCGAAUUUAGCAGAUAACAGAAUGAUUAGGGAUCUUAACCGAAUAUCUAGUAAAAAAAAUCCUGCACAGUGUCAAGUAGAUCUUAACAUACAUAUUUUGAUCUUGAAGAAAUGCCUUUUGCAUAUUGAAAACACAAAAUUGGACACCAUCUCAGCAACAUCUACUAAACUAACUAGCAACAGAUAACAAAAACACCAAAUAGCCAAUUAGCUUUGGCUUUCUCCUUGAAACUUUCCAAGAUAAUACUUCUAAUCCAACCAUUAGACUGCAAAAAAGUCACCAUUUCACGCUGAGAAAUUAAAGAAAAAGAAAAACCAAUUUUUUCCCAUACUGAAACCACCCUUCAAUUCUGAUUAAACACAUAAGAUAGCAUCCAUCCCAAAUGCCUGUAAAAAUUGGGUCUUUUUCUAAGCUUUUAAAUCCAACCCAAAAUGCAGGUUUACCAAUUAGAUCAAAACCAAAAAGGUUCUCAUUAUAUCACCAUUACAACAGAUCUACCAACCAAACAAUCAAUCAAAAACUUCAACUUCUCCAAAAAAGUUCAGAACAAGUAAAAACGAAGAUGAAACAAUGAUAAACAAGCACCGACCCAGAAGAAUGCAGGCCUGAUCGGUGAAGUCCACAAAGGAAUUGGACCCGUUCAGGAAGAGGAAAACUGCGAUCCGCAAUAGCAAUUGCAACAGCAGCAGCAGCAGAAGGCAGGUGUCUUUGCUGCCACCCGUUCUAGUAUGGUAGCAGUGAAGAGUUAGGGGACAUUAGGUGGAUAAUUUAUUGCUUAAUUUACUAGUAUUAGUAUGAGUAAUAGAGUGAUUUUUGUGAAUAUUUGGAGAAAUUUUUGGGGAAAGGAUGGAUCUUGACCUUAGAUUUUGAUAUCGGCAUCGGGGAUGGUACCAUCAGCCAGCGGAUUUGCACGUUAGAAUCUUGAGAUUG